UUAAUAUCCUUGUGUUUCAUUAAAUUGCUUUUGUAACUUAGUAACUAACUUUGAUAUUAAAAUGAUUUCUGCAGGGCUUGAGACCUUAUUUAACAAGCAUAAAAAAAGCUGAAAAUGAAAUCAAGGAAAUGGCUAAAAGAUUAAUGAUUUAUGUGGGAAUUAUUGCAUAUUUAGACAUCAAAUCGGGCC